rnacentral:rRNA from 1 species
GUGUCAGCAGCCGCGGUAAAACGUAGGAGCCAAGCGUUAUCCGAAUUUACUGGGCGUAAAGCGCGUGCAGGCGGCUAGGUAAGUUGGCUGUGAAAUCUCCCGGCUCAACUGGGAGGGGACGGUCAAGACUGCCAAGCUGGAGGCAGGGAGAGGGAGGCGGAAUUCCCGGUGUAGUGGUGAAAUGCGUAGAGAUCGGGAGGAACACCCGUGGCGAAAGCGGCCUCCUAGACCUGACCUGACGCUCAGACGCGAAAGCUAGGGGAGCGAACGGGAUUAGAUACCCUGGUAGUCC